GUGAUGUUUUCAUGCAUGCAAAUACACUACAGUGACCCUGAAAAAUAGAUUUGGAAAAGUUAAUUCAUAGCACUCACUCAGUCUGUUCUUUGCACACUGUAGCCACACCCUCUGACUUCCUUCUGUCCAAUACUUUAAUAUAGAUCCUUAACCCUUUACUGUGGUCUGCUCAUACUUCUCAACCAAGCCCCUGUCUACCUCAUCAUCAUCAUUCGGUCCUCAGUCACUUCAGUACUUUUCACCAUCUGACUCAUCGAGGCUCUUCAUGCUGUAAAGCAGUUCAACUUCUCCAGGAAACAGAGUCAGGCAGAGCUUAGAGUUCCGGAUGUUUAUCAGGGAGUGGUGCUUGAGUCAACACCCGUGCAAAGGACUGGGCUGAGGCAGAAUUGGGAAGAGGGAGAAAUCCAGCUGAGAUGCAAGCCAGACAGUGCCCGCCAACAGCACAGGGUGCUCAGAAACUUGAAACAGAACACAGAGGAGUUGACAAUUCAGCAGUACUGAUCUACUUGUAGCUUACAGGUAAGUGCCUGCCACAGAGAAGCACACACACAUGCCUGUAACUGAAAUGCCUUCUCCUACAUUAAGAAAUUCCUACUUGACAGACCCUCUGAGUGGUCAUGCUGAUCCAGAUCCAGUGCUUGAGUUGGUCCACCCCAACAACUACUCCAUCUAAGAGCUGCUGGAACCGGUGGAGGAGCUGGUGAUACAAAACCAGAUUCAGGAACAAGUCAUCUACACUGAGGAUUAAAACCUGAAGCGUGGCUGUGAUGGAGGCUAGCACCUGCCACUGUGGAGCAGCCCCGAGGAGCCUAAAAGAUCCAUGCAGUUUCCGAGGGGAGACAAAGCACUAGCAGAGGAGUCUGCAGAG
rnacentral:lncRNA from 1 species